GGCUUUGUAGCUUAGUGGUGAAGCAGGCACCUAGAGUUAGCCAAACCCGGGUUCAAGUCCUGGUGGAGCCA
rnacentral:tRNA from 1 species